CGGCGUACGGGUGAGUAACACGUGGAUGAUCUACCUUCUAGUGGGGGGAUAAACCCUGGGAAAACCGGGGCUAAUACCGCAUAAGCCUGUGAAGGGAAAGCAGCAAUGCGCUGGAAGAGGAGUCCGCGGCCGAUUAGCUAGUUGGUGAGGUAAUGGCCUACCAAGGCUACGAUCGAUAGCCGGCCUGAGAGGGCACACGGCCACACUGGCACUGAAACACGGGCCAG
rnacentral:rRNA from 1 species